rnacentral:tRNA from 1 species
GGAGAUGUAUCGAAGUGGUCAUAACGAGCACGAUUGGAAAUCGUGUUGUCCGUAAAACCGGGCACGUGGGUUCAAAUCCCACCAUCUCCGCCA